AUGGACGACGUUGACGCCGCCGCCGUCACCGAUCCCCGCGGACGCCGCAGACGCCGCCGACCAGUGCAGAGCGCGGUCACGUUCUCCGCGCGGCCAUACGGACCAUCGCUUCGCCUGAGGUCGCCUAUCAUGGCUGCCACCAGCGUCGGCAGGAACGACUCGCCGAUGGCACCCGAGGACUCCACAGUAUCGUCUAGGCUAGGAGAGGUCAAGAUCAACCUGGACGGCACUGGUGUUGCAAACUACAGCAUAGGGAUAUCGUUCUUGGAUUACAUCCUUGAUUGUAACCAAAGUCUAUGGAUCUGUCAAAGGGUCUUGCUGCAUAUGGUCAUUGUUGUAUUGUUGGAGAGCUGGAAGCAGAAUCAUAGGAGAUGCUGCACAAUAUGA
rnacentral:rRNA from 1 species